rnacentral:rRNA from 1 species
GAUGAACGCUAGCUACAGGCUUAACACAUGCAAGUCGAGGGGAAACGACAUCGAAAGCUUGCUUUGAUGGGCGUCGACCGGCGCACGGGUGAGUAACGCGUAUCCAACCUGCCCGCCACUUGGGGAUAACCUUGCGAAAGUAAGACUAAUACCCAAUGAUAUCCCACGAAGGCAUCGGAAUGGGAUUAAAGAUUUAUCGGUGAUGGAUGGGGAUGCGUCUGAUUAGCUUGUUGGCGGGGUAACGGCCCACCAAGGCUACGAUCAGUAGGGGUUCUGAGAGGAAGGUCCCCCACAUUGGAACUGAGACACGGUCCAAACUCCUACGGGAGGCAGCAGUGAGGAAUAUUGGUCAAUGGGCGAGAGCCUGAACCAGCCAAGUAGCGUGCAGGAUGACGGCCCUAUGGGUUGUAAACUGCUUUUAUAAGGGAAUAAAGUGGGUCUCGUGAGACUUUUGCAUGUACCUUAUGAAUAAGGACCGGCUAAUUCCGUG